rnacentral:rRNA from 1 species
CCUACGGGUGGCAGCAGUGGGGAAUCUUGCGCAAUGCGGGAAACCGUGACGCAGCGACGCCGCGUGGGGGAAGAAGGCCUUCGGGUUGUAAACCUCUUUCAGGAGGGACGCGGUACCUCCAGAAGAAGCCCCGGCUAACUACGUGCCAGCAGCCGCGGUAAUACGUAGGGGGCAAGCGGUGUCCGGAUUUAUUGGGCGUAAAGAGCGUGUAGGCGGCUUGACAGUCUGCUGUGAAAACUCGAGGCUCAACCUCGAGAUGGCGGCGGAAACCGUCUGGCUAGAGUCCGGAAGAGGAGAGUGGAAUUCCUGGUGUAGCGGUGAAAUGCGCAGAUAUCAGGAAGAACACCUAUGGCGAAGGCAGCUCUCUGGGACGGACUGACGCUGAGACGCGAAAGCGUGGGGAGCGAACAGGAUUAGAUACCCUUGUAGUC